AGGGUAAUAGUUAAGUAUAACAUUUGAUUUGCAUUCAAAAAGUAUUGUUUAAACAAUUUACCUUA
rnacentral:tRNA from 1 species